UCGGGAGGCAGCCGUAGGGAAUUUUUCGCAAUGGGAGAAAGUUUGACGGAGCAACGCCGGGUGAGUGAUGAAGGUUUUUGGAUUGUAAAGGUUCGUUGUUAGGGAAGAACCAGUUCCGUUCAAAUAGGGGGGCACCUUGGCGGUACCUAACCAGAAAACCCCGGCUAAAUUCGUGCCCGCCGCCGCGGUAAUAAGUAGGUGGCCAGCGUUGUCCGGAAUUAUUGGGGGUAAAGGGCUGGCCGGCGGUUUAUUAAGUUUGAUGGGAAAGCCCCGGGGUCAACCGGGGAGGGUCAUUGGAAACUGGGGAACUUGAGUGCAGAAGAGGAAAGUGGAAUUCCACGUGUAGCGGUGAAAUGCGUAGAGAUGUGGAGGAACACCAGUGGCGAAGGCGACUUUCUGGUCUGUAACUGACGCUGAGGAGCGAAAGCGUGGGGAGCAAACAGGAUUAGAUACCCUGGUAGUCCACGCCGUAAACGAUGAGUGCUAGGUGUUAGGGGUUUUCCGCCCCUUCUAGUGCCUGCAGCUAACGCAAUAA
rnacentral:rRNA from 1 species